rnacentral:rRNA from 1 species
AUGGCAGUAUUCCACAAGUUCUAUCACAUGCACGGAAGAAACUUCAGCGAGAUCAACACCGCGUUGAUCGCUCUGCUGCCGAAGCGCAAUGAUGCAUCAGAGAUCGGCCACUACAGACCCAUCAGCCUCAUCCACUCCAUUGCAAAGUUGAUCUCCAAAGUGCUCGCAUUAAGGCUGUCGGCUGCCCUGGAUGGAGUGAUCUUGCCGGCGCAAACGGCUUUUCAGAAAGGGAAGUGCAUCCAUGACAGCUUCCAAUCCGUGCAAGGCUGCGUGAGAAUGCUGCAUAGGGAAAAACAAGCUUUGCUCUUCAAGUUGGACUUUGCCUGA